ACAUGCCUACAACAUAACGUUAAUGCACCGAAUCCCAUUAGAACUCCAUAGUUAAGUGCGCUCAGGAUAGAGUAGUAUUCGGAUGGGUGACCACCUGGGAAGUCCUAGUGGUUUACAUGCA
rfam:Picea glauca, whole genome shotgun sequence.